UACGAAGGGGGCUAGCGUUGUUCGGAAUCACUGGGCGUAAAGGGCGCGUAGGCGGCUUUAUAAGUUAGGGGUGAAAUCCUGGAGCUCAACUCCAGAACUGCCUUUGAUACUGAGGAUCUUGAGUUCGGGAGAGGUGAGUGGAACUGCGAGUGUAGAGGUGAAAUUCGUAGAUAUUCGCAAGAACACCAGUGGCGAAGGCGGCUCACUGGCCCGAUACUGACGCUGAGGCACGAAAGCGUGGGGAGCAAACAGG
rnacentral:rRNA from 1 species